rnacentral:rRNA from 1 species
UGAGGAACAUGACCUUCGGCGGGGGAUAGCCGGCCCAACGGCCGGGUAAUACCGCGUACGACCACAUGGGGACAUCCCUGAGUGGUGAAAGCAGCAAUGCGCCGAUGGAGUGCCUCGCGGCCUAUCGGCUAGUUGGUGUGGGUAAUGGCCCACCAAGGCGGCGACGGGUAGCCGGCCUGAGAGGGUGACCGGCCACACUGGGACUGGGACACGGCCCAGACUCCUACGGGGAGGCAG